rnacentral:rRNA from 1 species
CUACGGGAGGCAGCAGUGGGGAAUAUUGCACAAUGGGCGAAAGCCUGAUGCAGCAACGCCGCGUGAGGGAUGACGGCCUUCGGGUUGUAAACCUCUUUUAGUAGGGAAGAAGCGAAAGUGACGGUACCUGCAGAAAAAGCACCGGCUAACUACGUGCCAGCAGCCGCGGUAAUACGUAGGGUGCAAGCGUUGUCCGGAAUUAUUGGGCGUAAAGAGCUCGUAGGCGGUUUGUCGCGUCUGCUGUGAAAUCUGGGGGCUCAACCCCCAGCCUGCAGUGGGUACGGGCAGACUAGAGUGCGGUAGGGGAGAUUGGAAUUCCUGGUGUAGCGGUGGAAUGCGCAGAUAUCAGGAGGAACACCGAUGGCGAAGGCAGAUCUCUGGGCCGUAACUGACGCUGAGGAGCGAAAGCAUGGGGAGCGAACAGGAUUAGAUACCCUGGUAGUCCAUGCCGUAAACGUUGGGAACUAGAUGUGGGGGCCAUUCCACGGUCUCCGUGUCGCAGCUAACGCAUUAAGUUCCCCGCCUGGGGAGUAC